GAUGAACGCUGGCGGCGUGCUUAACACAUGCAAGUCGAACGGAAAGGCCCAGCUUUUGUGGGGUGCUCGAGUGGCGAACGGGUGAGUAACACGUGAGUAACCUGCCCUGGACUUUGGGAUAACCUUAGGAAACUGGGUCUAAUACCGGAUAGGAGCUCCUGCUGCAUGUUGGGGUUGGGAAAUUUUCGGCGGGUGGGUGUGGACUCGGGCCUUAUCAGCUUGUGGGGGGGGGAGUGGCUUACCAGGGGUUAGGGGGGUAGUCUGCUUGAGAGGGUGACCGCCCACAUUGGGACUGCGAUACGGCCCAGCCUCGUACGGGAGGCAGCAGUGGGAAAUAUGGCAAAGUGGGCGGACGCCUGAUGAAGCAACGCCGCGUGCGGGAUGACGGCCUUCGGGUGGUAAACCGCUUUCGCCUGUGACGAAGCGUUAGUGACGUUACUGGGUAAAGAAGCACCGGCUAACUACAUG
rnacentral:rRNA from 1 species